AUAUAUUUAUAUGUGUGUGUAUAUAUAUAUAUAUAUAUAUAUAUAAUUUUUAAAAGGAACGAUCGUGUUGAUAAAGAAACGAAUCGAGAUUGAUUGGACAGCCAUCCAAUUUCGCUUCGGAAACCGAAACACGCGAACAUCCCCUGCGCAAACCAUACCAAACGUGACGAUACUCUGUGAGGUAGCUGACAUUGAGCCGUUUCAGGGCCAAUCGGACCAAAUCUUCCAGUUUUUGGUGGAGAAGCAUCCGAUUUUUUUUUUUUUUUUUUUUUACGAGACAGACGUAUCAACGAAGAAACGAUUUAUAAAAAUGAUUCAAUUUCAACGAUGAAGAAUUUAUAUUGCGAAAAAUUUAUCUUAAAAUUCUCCCCUUCUCAUAUUUCCCGCCCUUUCUCGACGCGUUUCAAUGAGAAUGAGAAGGAUUCGAUGGUCGAAUGUUCCGUUCCCCAGAAUAAGUAAUAAGGAAAUAUAUCGCGACCCUAAACGAAAUGGAGCAAAAAGCUUUGAAAAAACGAGAAUCUUUGGACCCGACUUUCCGAGCAAUGCCCGCCAUCUUGGUCCCGUCUGACCACCGGUGUGGAUAAACGUAUAUAAUCUCGCGAUCUCGCUUCUCCCUCAAUAUUUUGUUUCGGUUUUCCUUUCCUUUGUUUUGUUUUUUUUUUCUUUUUUUUUCUUUUUUUCUUUUUGUUUUGUUGGCGUUUUCAAAUUCCGCUCUCUCUUACUCCGUCAUUUUUUGUCUCCACACACCGUAAUUACAAUAGUAUUUGUUUCUUUCUUUUUUUUUUUUUUUCUUCUUUUAUAUCCGUAAUCUUA